UUGAAAGGGAAACGAUUGAAGUCAGUCGUACCGACGAGAAAUCAACUUAUCGUGUGCGAACUUGUGGGCGUGCGUGAGUUUCGGCCUCGCUGUUUGCAUGUUUGUGCGCUUUGGGUGUACUUUUUCGUAUGGUAGGCCAACGUCAGUUUCGAUUAUCAUAAAAUGACCGGCGGAAUGUAGCUUCGACUUCGGUUGAAGUGUUAUAGCCUCUGGUAGAUGUGGUGAUUGGGACUGAGGAUUGCAACGAGUACCCUUUGGGCUAUCCGUCUGGCCUCUGAAAGUUGCUCAGGUGCCGAAAGCGUGCUUACGGUCAUCUAAGAUAACGUUCAACAGGUUAGAACGUGAUUACAUUCGUUAAGGAUGUUGACGUA
rnacentral:rRNA from 1 species